rnacentral:sRNA from 1 species
AGGAGGGGCAAAGCUCAAGAUGGCGGACAAAACGCCAGGCGGAUCUCAGAAGGCCAGUUCAAAGACGAGAUCAUCAGAUGUUCAUUCAUCUGGAUCUUCGGAUGCACAUAUGGAUGCAUCUGGACCCUCAGAUAGUGAUAUGCCAAGUCGGACACGACCUAAGAGCCCAAGAAAACAUAAUUAUAGGAAUGAAAGUGCCCGUGAAAGCCUUUGUGAUUCUCCUCAUCAGAAUCUCUCAAGACCUCUUCUGGAAAACAAACUUAAAGCAUUCAGUAUUGGAAAAAUGAGUACAGCUAAGCGAACUUUAAGUAAAAAGGAACAGGAAGAAUUAAAGAAAAAGGAGGAUGAAAAGGCAGCUGCUGAGAUUUAUGAGGAGUUUCUUGCUGCUUUUGAAGGAAGUGAUGGUAAUAAAGUGAAAACAUUUGUGCGAGGAGGUGUUGUUAAUGCAGCUAAAGAAGAACAUGAAACAGAUGAAAAAAGAGGUAAAAUCUAUAAGCCAUCUUCAAGAUUUGCAGAUCAAAAAAAUCCUCCAAAUCAGUCUUCCAAUGAAAGACCACCAUCUCUUCUUGUGAUAGAAACCAAAAAACCUCCACUUAAAAAAGGAGAGAAAGAAAAGAAAAAAAGCAAUUUGGAACUCUUCAAAGAAGAAUUAAAGCAAAUUCAAGAGGAACGUGAUGAGAGACAUAAAACAAAAGGCAGAUUAAGUCGAUUUGAACCUCCUCAGUCAGAUUCUGAUGGUCAGCGUCGUUCUAUGGACGCGCCUUCAAGAAGAAAUAGAUCAUCUGGUGUUCUUGAUGAUUACGCACCUGGCUCACAUGAUGUAGGAGAUCCAAGCACUACUAAUUUAUACCUUGGAAACAUUAAUCCACAGAUGAAUGAAGAAAUGCUGUGCCAAGAAUUUGGAAGAUUUGGACCGUUAGCCAGUGUGAAAAUCAUGUGGCCUAGAACUGAUGAAGAAAGAGCCAGAGAGAGAAAUUGCGGCUUUGUGGCCUUUAUGAAUAGAAGAGAUGCUGAAAGAGCUUUAAAAAAUUUGAAUGGAAAAAUGAUUAUGUCUUUUGAAAUGAAGUUAGGUUGGGGUAAAGCUGUACCUAUUCCUCCACAUCCAAUAUACAUUCCGCCUUCUAUGAUGGAACAUACGCUUCCCCCACCUCCAUCCGGACUGCCUUUUAAUGCACAGCCUAGAGAGCGGUUAAAAAACCCUAAUGCUCCUAUGUUACCGCCACCUAAAAACAAAGAGGAUUUUGAGAAGGUAAUUUAAAAAAUGGACAUAAGGCCGCAUCUAAUUUGUAAAUACUAAAGCUGUGGUAGUAUUUCUUUUCAACAAUUUUAUAGAAAAUGUGUGUGUAAUUCUGUUUGGCAACUUUUAAAGAAAUAAGUAGAUGUGUUCCCUGCCUUAGCCCAUGGAAACCCUAUAUUUGAAAUACUAGGUCAUAUUUUUAUUUGUGGCUACCAUUCCUUUUUUGACCACUUGUUAAGUUUUUUUUCCUUUGUCCAGUGUUGUAUCCAGAUUUGCUUAAGUGUAGUAACUAAAUUUACUUUGUUCUGAGAAAGUGAUACUUUGUAUUUGGUUAAGUGACAUU